UACGGGGGGGAGCAAGCGUUGUUCGGAUUUACUGGGCGUAAAGGGCGCGUAGGCGGCCAGCACAAGUCAGUUGUGAAAUCUCCGGGCUUAACUCGGAACGGUCAGCUGAUACUGCUUUGCUAGAGUGCGGAAGGGGCAAUCGGAAUUCUCGGUGUAGCGGUGAAAUGCGUAGAUAUCGAGAGGAACACCUGAGGUGAAGACGGGUUGCUGGGCCGACACUGACGCUGACAGCGCGAAAGCCAGGGGAGCAAACGGG
rnacentral:rRNA from 1 species